UACGUAGGGUGCGAGCGUCGUCCGGAAUUAUUGGGCGUAAAGGGCUCGUAGGCGGUCUGUCACGUCGGGAGUGAAAACUCAGGGCUUAACCCUGAGCCUGCUUCCGAUACGGGCAGACUAGAGGUAUGCAGGGGAGAACGGAAUUCCUGGUGUAGCGGUGAAAUGCGCAGAUAUCAGGAGGAACACCGGUGGCGAAGGCGGUUCUCUGGGCAUUACCUGACGCUGAGGAGCGAAAGCGUGGGGAGCAAACAGG
rnacentral:rRNA from 1 species